UGCUCCCUUCAGCAGUGUACCACAAAAAUUGGAACGAUGCAGACAGGAUUAACAUUGCCGAUGCUUAAGGAUGACGUGCAAAUUUGUGAAGUGUUCCAUAUUAAA